rnacentral:rRNA from 1 species
UGUCUUUUUGAUUAUAAUUUAAAGUCUAAUCUGCCCACUGAGUUAUUAAAUGGCCGCGGUAUUUUGACCGUGCAAAGGUAGCAUAAUAAUUAGUUUUUUAAUUGAAAGCUGGAAUGAAUGAUUGGAUGAGAAAAUAACUGUCUCAAAUAAAUUUUUAUAAAACUUUAUUUUUAAGUUAAAAAGCUUAAAUAUUGUUUAAAGACGAGAAGACCCUAUAGAGUUUAAUAAAUUCAAUUUUUUAUAUUUAUAGUUUUUUAUAUUUAAAUUUAUUUAAUUUAUUUUGUUGGGGUGAUAGAAAAAUUAAAAAAACUUUUUUUAAAUUUAUUCAUUUUUAAAUGUUUAAUUGAUCCAUUAUUAGUGAUUAAAAGAUUAAAUUACCUUAGGGAUAACAGCGUAAUUUUUUUUGAGAGUUCUAAUCGAAAAAAAAGAUUGCGACCUCGAUGUUGGAUUAAAGUUAAUUUUUGGUGUAGAAGCUAAAAUAUUAGGUCUGUUCGACCUUUAAAACUUU